AUGGCGCACCGGCUGCUGCGGGACGCGCAGGCCGACGGCUGGGAGCGGUCGGACUUCCCCAUCAUCUGCGAGUCGUGCCUCGGCGACAACCCCUACGUCCGCAUGCUCAGAGCAGAAUAUGACAAGGAAUGCAAGAUCUGUGCGCGUCCUUUUACUGUCUUCCGUUGGAGACCUGGUCGGGAUGCAAGGUACAAGAAGACAGAGAUCUGCCAGACGUGCUGCAAGUUGAAAAACGUCUGCCAGGUCUGCCUUCUGGACCUUGAAUAUGGUCUGCCAGUUCAGGUUCGCGAUACGGCACUCGCGAUCAAUUCGAAUGAUGCAAUUCCAAGGAGUGAUGUCAACCGUGAGUACUUUGCAGAAGAGCAUGAUCGUAAGGCUGCAGCUGGCAUAGAUUAUGACUCUUCAUAUGGAAAGGCCCGUCCAAAUGAUACCAUUCUGAAGCUUCAGAGGACUUCACCAUAUUACAAGAGGAACCGAGCUCAUGUUUGCAGUUUCUAUGUGCGGGGUGAAUGUACAAGAGGUGCUGAGUGCCCAUAUCGCCACGAGAUGCCUGAGACAGGGGAGUUAUCCCAGCAGAACAUCAAAGAUCGCUACUAUGGAGUUAAUGACCCAGUGGCUCUCAAGCUUUUGGGUAAGGCAGGUGAGAUGCCAUCUCUGCAGCCACCAGAUGAUGAGACUAUAAGGACCCUCUACAUUGGUGGACUUGAUAACCGAGUCAGUGAGCAGGAUUUGAGGGAUCAGUUUUAUGCACAUGGUGAGAUCGAAUCCAUCAGGAUGGUAAUCCAGCGUGCUUGUGCAUUUGUGACAUACACAACAAGAGAAGGUGCUGAGAGAGCUGCAGAGGAGCUUGCUAACAAGCUAGUCAUCAAGGGUGUGCGCCUGAAGCUCAUGUGGGGCAAGCCUCAAGCCCCAAGGCAAGAUGAUGACGAGGCUGGGAGGCAAGGCCAUGUAUCCCAUGGAGGAUUGCUCCCUAGGGCUGUCAUAUCCCAGCAGCAUAGCAGCGACCAGCCUCAGCCACCUGGGAUGGAGGGCCAACAGCAAGUGGCACCACAAGGAUCGGGCUACUUCAACAUCCCACCACCGCCAGCGGUGGAUCAGCGGAUGUACCCUUCAAUGGACCCACAGAGGAUGGGUGCUGUAGUCAGGUCGCAGGAAGGCGAUGGCAGCAAGGCAGGGCCACAGCAUGCCGGGCAAGCUCAGGCGUCAAGCAGCUCAGGACAGGGCUAUCCUAUGCGUCCGCCGCUGCCGCCUUACUACCAGGGUGCUCAGUACCCUCCAUACUACCCACCCCCACCAUAUGGCGGCGGUUACAUGGCCCCGCCUCGCAUGCCGUACCCACCCCAGUAUCCACCAUACCGGCCAAUGCUGGCGCCCCCAGCGCAGCAGCCACAAGGGAGUUCAUCCCAGCAGCCGGUACCAGCGCCGGCAGGGCAGCAGCAGGCUCAAGCACCUCGUGCUCAGCAGCAGCCACCGGCGGCGGCAGCCCAGAACUGA
rnacentral:rRNA from 1 species